CGCGUGGGGAACGUGCCCCCUUGGUACGGAAUAGCCCCCGGGAAACUGGGGAGUAAUACCGUAUGUGGUCGAGAGACGAAAGAUUUAUCGCCAAGGGAUCGGCCCGCGUUGGAUUAGGUAGUUGGUGGGGUAAUGGCCUACCAAGCCGACGAUCCAUAGCUGGUUUGAGAGGAUGAUCAGCCACACUGGGACUGAGACACGGCCCAGACUCCUACGGGAGGCAGCAGUGGGGAAUCUUAGACAAUGGGCGCAAGCCUGAUCUAGCCAUGCCGCGUGAGCGAUGAAGGCCUUAGGGUUGUAAAGCUCUUUCGUGGGGGAAGAUAAUGACUGUACCCCAAGAAGAAGCCCCGGCUAACUCCGUGCCAGCAGCCGCGGUAAUACGGAGGGGGCUAGCGUUGUUCGGAAUUACUGGGCGUAAAGCGCACGUAGGCGGACUGGAAAGUCAGAGGUGAAAUCCCAGGGCUCAACCUUGGAACUGCCUUUGAAACUCCCGGUCUUGAGGUCGAGAGAGGUGAGUGGAAUUCCGAGUGUAGAGGUGAAA
rnacentral:rRNA from 1 species